UGUUUUCCUCCUAUUUCAAAUAAUUCUUAGAUCAGAUUUGAAGAAGUGCUUACUCUUUUGCAUAUCAUAGCAAACCAGUCUGCUAUGGCUUCAUCUUCUUCCUCUAAUCCAUCUUCUCAAUCUCCAAAGAAAUAUGAUGUUUGUAUCAGCUUCAGAGGCGAGGACAAACGCCUCAACAUCAGUAGCCACCUACAUGAUGCUCUUCGAAGAAACCAAAUUGAAACAUAUAUCGUCAAUAGCCUCGAGAAAGGAGGAGUGCUAUGGACAUCUCUUGAGAAAGCCGUUGAAGAUUCAACUCUAUUUCUUGUGAUCUUCUCAGAAAAUUAUGCAUCUUCCACAUGGUGCUUGAAGGAGCUCACCAAAAUACUGGAGUGUUCCAAAAAUCAAGGUCAUCAUCGCCUUGUCAUGCCUGUAUUCUAUAGAAUAGAACCUUCACAUGUGAGGAAGCCAUCUGAGAGUUACCAGAAAGCAUUUGCAGAACAUGAGCACAAAAACAUAAACCAGCAACAAUUGCAAAAGUGGAGGGAGGCUCUUGCCGAUGCUGCCAAUUUAGUUGGUUGGCAUUGAAGUUUCACUAGGGAAGUGAAGUCAUCGAAGGCAUAACUCUGAAUGUUUCAGAAAUUGAGGAGAUGUGCUUGAGUCCCAAAACCUUUUGUUCAAUGCCGAAUCUGAAGUUUCUUAAUUUUCAUAAAACAUUCAAUGAUCCGGCUGGGACCAAGUUACAUUUUCUCACGGUUUAGUUUUUUUGCCAAAUAAACUUGGACUGUUGCAUUGGGAGAAAUACCCUUUAAAGUCUUUGCCAGCAACAUUCAAGGUUGAACAUCUUGUUUCACUUGAAAUGCCAAGCAGCAAUUUGACAAAACUUUGGGAUGGCAUCCAGAAUCUUGUGAAUUUGAGCAAGAUUCAACUGGUUGGAUAAAAAAAAUUUAAUAGAGCUCCUGAACUUUUCAAAGGCCAUAAAUCUAUCUGAAGUUAAUCUCAAUUAUUGCUCAAAAUUAUGAAGUGUUCAUCAAUCUAUUUUAUCUCUAAAUAGCCUUCGUGGUUUAUGGCCAAGAGGUUGCAAAACCCUUACUAGCCUCAAGUAAAACCCAUCUCAAAUCACUUAGUGAUCUCGGCCUUGAGGAAUGCUCAAAAUUGAAAAAAAUUUCAGGGACCUCAGAAAAUUAUUGGUUUGAAUUGAAGCUUUCAGGAACAGCCAUCAAUGAUGAAUUGUGCUCAUCAAGCGGGCGUCUAAACAAAAUUGAUUCAUUGUUUCUAAACAAUUGCAAAAGUUUGACAAGUCUUCCCUACAAACUGGUUGAACUGCGUAACCUUCGACGUCUUUAUGUUAAUGGUUGUAAUAAGUUAGCAUCAAAUCUGCGUUCCAUAUUUGAUGGGAUACGUGCUCUGGAAGUUCUAUGGCUAAGUGAUUGCAAUGAACUAAUUGAACUCCCAUUCAGCAUCAUCUUCUUGUCAUCAUUAUGUGAGUUAGCUCUCUCAAGGUCUAAUAUUGAGACUUUGCCUAUAAGCAUCAAACAUCUUUCAAGCCUGCAAGAUCUUUACUUGGAUGGAUGCAGAAGACUUCGGUCUCUGCCUGAACUCCCUCCCUCUGUCUUAGCACUGUCUACCAUCGACUGUCUAUCCCUUACGACUCUACCUCUACCUUUAACUAUUGAAGAUGAAGAAGGAAAAGAAGUAGAUUAUGAUGAUGAAGAUGAAGAGGAGCCAUUUCCGUACUUUUGCUUUACAAAUUGCAUGAAGUUGGAUCGACAAUCAAUCAAAGCCGUAGAAGCAAAAGCCGUCCUUGAGAUGAAUAAAGGCAUUUAUAGCACGGCUAAAAUAGAAUAUCCAGGAAAUAGAGUUCCAGAGUGGUUCAUGUAUAGGACUACACAGAACUUUGUAACCAUGGAUCUUUGCUCCAUUCCACAACCUUCUUGGGAUGGCAGUUUCAUUUUCUGCGCUGUCAUUCCUCAAUCACCACCAAGUACAUUCAUUGAUGCCACAAGGUUUAUUGAUGGUCAAUAUGCUUGCAUGGCUGCCACCUCGUUUGGGACGACUGAGUCACGUUGUUCAGAUCAUGUUUUCGUCUGGUAUGAUUCCUAUUCUUUUGAAGGAUUGCGAAGGAAAAUUGAAGAAAAGAAAAAAGAUGCUCAAAACAACACUUAUCAUCCAUCGGUUGAAAUAGAAUUCACAGUUACAUGUUGGAAGUCUUUAGAUUAUGGAAGAAUAGGGAAGAUCAAAGGGUGUGGGGUAUGCCCAACAUCUGCAAUUGAAUAUCAACAAUACAUUAAACAGAUUAAAUCGGCAUUGCAGCAACAUCUUAACUCUACUGCAAUGGGAUCACUUGCUCCUUUCACAAAGACGCUGUCUCUUGAAAGCGCAGAUACCACAGCUCUGAUGAAUACCAAGAAAUGAUUUUGAGUUUCAAAGAUCUCAAGCUAAACGAUCUUCGACUUCAUACAUGGCUCCCUUCCUCUUGAAAAAAGGUAUCCUCUGCUUUUAAUUCUGAUGCAUAAUUUUUGUUCCUACAACCCCAAUUUUUUUACUUCUUUUUUUUUAAAAAAAAAAUUCCAUAUUUACAAAUCGAUCAUAUAAAUAAAUAACAAAAACUGAGCAAAUUGAAGAGUUCAGAAAGAGCAAAUUGCAUUGAUUAUUUAACCUUCCCUUAUUGUUUAAGUAAGCUUCUGCGCACUUUUGCUUUCCCUUCUGCAAAAUCUUCUCAAACAGAGAAAACUUUGCCAUUAUUUUUCACUUUUGUAGAUUACAUUCCCUUGUCACUGCUACUUAUUGUUCCACUAUCCGAGCUAAGAAUAGUGAUCAUGACUUUCUACUGAAGCAUAAACAACCAUCCCAAAUCCCCAUUUAACAUUCUCAUUGAUGAUUACUUCCAUUGAAGAGAUGAUUUCAGCGAGGUUUCUGCUCUAAGCAAAAAUGGCAGAGGGGAACAAAAUAGAGGAGCCUAAGUCACUGUCUAAAGCCUACAUCGCAAAGCUCUCCAUAGCUUCUUUCCUUCCUUUUCUACGUCAGAAGGAUUUGGGAUUGAAAGGAGAAAGAAAAUAGGGGUAGUUCCUUGUGUCUUGAUUAUUAAAUCCUAUUAAAAAAAUAAAAAUUAAGUUUUUUGUGUGUUCUUUUUCAGUGAAUAUAAGUUGCUCGCAAGUUUUUUUCAGUACGUAUAAGUUGUUCUUUUUGUUUAAUUCAAGCUCUUUCUUUUAUUACUUACAA